CCUACGGGGCGCAGCAGUGGGGGAUAUUGCACAAUGGGGGAAACCCUGAUGCAGCGACGCCGCGUGGGUGAAGAAGCGCCUCGGCGCGUAAAGCCCUGUCAGCAGGGAAGAAAAUGACGGUACCUGAAGAAGAAGCCCCGGCUAACUACGUGCCAGCAGCCGCGGUAAUACGUAGGGGGCAAGCGUUAUCCGGAUUCACUGGGUGUAAAGGGAGCGUAGACGGAAAUGCAAGUCAGAAGUGAAAACCCAAGGCCCAACCCCGGGACUGCUCUUGGAACUGCGUGGCUGGAGUGCGGGAGGGGCAG
rnacentral:rRNA from 1 species